GUGCGAUCUCGGCUCACUGCACGCUCUGCCUCCCGGGUUCAUGCCAUUCUCCUGCCUCAGCCUCCUGAGUAGCUGGGACUAUAGGUGCCCGCCACCAUGCCUCGCUAAUUUUUUGUAUUUUUAGUAGAAACGGGGUUUCACCGUGUUAGCCAGGAUGGUCUUGAUCUCAUGACCUCGUGAUCCACCCUCCUCGGCUUCCCAAAGUGCUGGGAUUGCAGGCGUGAACCACCACGCCCGGCCGGCUUUACUUCUAAUCCUCCACUUCUUGGUCUAUUUGAACCAUCACAAGUAUUUUGGGACCGAUAACAAACCCCUUUUAUGCUAAUUUAAUUCUUGACUUGGGUAAUAGGUGCACCUGGAUAAUUUAUAAAGCUGUCCAUAGAUCUAAGUUUAGUGGUACAGAUACUACUGGGCAGGAGAAAAAGCACAAGUUAAAAUAUUUCUACAGUCAGCUCUUAAUAUUCCCACAUCUUGUUUGCAAAAUUUUAUGGUCACGUUCUGGCUUUUUUACAUGAGGAAAACAAAGUUUUAACAGUUUUCUCUUCUGUCCCCUUCUCCAGAGGAGGUGUGAACCAGAACUGAGGAGGCCAGUUAUAUUUUAGGCUUUUCAGUAGUACGAUUUUGUCCUCUCCCACUGAGGAGGAGGGAAGAAGGGGGAAGCCAGUGGGAGUUCCACACACGUGGUCAGUGCUGUAAGUUCCCGGAUAUCAGUGUCUCUCACAUCAACACAGAAAUAGGGCACUUCUCAACAUUAAUUUUGGAAUUAUUCACCAUUUAAAAAUUGUCACUGCUCUUUUUCAUUACUGUAGAUAACUGAGAGUUAGCUGUUCUAGGAAAAGGCCAUGUUUCAGUUAGUGCUAUGACUUCUUUUUUCGAUUAAGGUUGAAGCAGUGUUCUCUUAGUAGCCUGAACACUUCUCAAAGCGACUUAUCACUAGCGGCUUUAAUAUUGAGCUUCUAUAUCGUUGUGUCCACCUCACUUUUUAAGGCUGUUCAUACCUGGCAAUAUUCACUUACUCUGCUAUUUUUAAAAACUAUUUUAAAGUUUUAAGCACAAUGUUGACUCUUCUGUAAUUUCCUAAAAUUAUAUUGUUUUCCUACAGACAGCUCAACUUUCCUUGAUAUGUAACACUUUAGGAAAAUAACUGCCUUGUAAAAUAAACGUGAUUUUUUUUUUCUUUUAUACCAGAACAAAUCUGCUG
rnacentral:lncRNA from 1 species